rnacentral:lncRNA from 1 species
GAACAGUGCCCUCUGCAGCUGAAUAACCCUUUUAACGAGUAUUCCAAAUUUGAUGGCAACAUUGUUCCAGUCUAUGUCGGAUAAUUAUGAACAAAUGUUUUCUACAAUCAUUGGCAUUAAAUAGCUCUCUUCAAAGAAAGUCACUUAAAACUUUGCAGAAAAGCAUGAAGCCACCGAGAAAUGUUGCAAACUCAGAAAAGGUCAUGUAGGUACAACAGCAACCAAGAAGAUCGAUGUCUACCUCCCUCUGCACUCGAGCCAGGACAGACUGCUGCCAAUGACCGUGGUGACAAUGGCCAGCGCCAGGGUGCAGGACCUGAUCGGGCUCAUCUGCUGGCAGUAUACAAGCGAAGGACGGGAGCCGAAGCUCAUGACAAUGUCAGUGCCUACUGCCUGC